rnacentral:rRNA from 1 species
ACGACUUUCAGCGGCGGAUGUCUUGGUUCCCACAUCGAUGAAGAACGCAGCGAAAUGCGAUACGUAAUGCGAAUUGCAGAGUCUUGCGAGUCAUCAAAUUUUCGAACGC